GGUGAGUAACACGUGAGCAAUCUGCCCCUGACUCUGGGAUAAGCGCUGGAAACGGCGUCUAAUACCGGAUACGAGCUGCGAAGGCAUCUUCGGCAGCUGGAAAGAAUUUCGGUCAGGGAUGAGCUCGCGGCCUAUCAGCUAGUUGGUGAGGUAAUGGCUCACCAAGGCGUCGACGGGUAGCCGGCCUGAGAGGGUGACCGGCCACACUGGGACUGAGACACGGCCCAGACUCCUACGGGAGGCAGCAGUGGGGAAUAUUGCACAAUGGGCGCAAGCCUGAUGCAGCAACGCCGCGUGAGGGACGACGGCCUUCGGGUUGUAAACCUCUUUUAGCAGGGAAGAAGCGAAAGUGACGGUACCUGCAGAAAAAGCACCGGCUAACUACGUGCCAGCAGCCGCGGUAAUACGUAGGGUGCAAGCGUUAUCCGGAAUUAUUGGGCGUAAAGAGCUCGUAGGCGGUUUGUCGCGUCUGCUGUGAAAACCCGAGGCUCAACCUCGGGCCUGCAGUGGGUACGGGCAGACUAGAGUGCGGUAGGGGAGAUUGGAAUUCCUGGUGUAGCGGUGGAAUGCGCAGAUAUCAGGAGGAACACCGAUGGCGAAGGCAGAUCUCUGGGCCGUAA
rnacentral:rRNA from 1 species